rnacentral:rRNA from 1 species
AGUGAACGCUGGCGGUAGGCCUAACACAUGCAAGUCGAACGGCAGCACAGUAAGAGCUUGCUCUUACGGGUGGCGAGUGGCGGACGGGUGAGGCAUACAUCGGAAUCUACUUUUUCGUGGGGGAUAACGUAGGGAAACUUACGCUAAUACCGCAUACGACCUACUGGUGAAAGCAGGGGAUCUUCGGACCUUGCGCGAUUGAAUGAGCCGAUGUCGGAUUAGCUAGUUGGCGGGGUAAAGGCCCACCAAGGCGACGAUCCGUAGCUGGUCUGAGAGGAUGAUCAGCCACACGGGAACGGAGACACGGUCCAGACUCCUACGGGAGGCAGCAGUGGGGAAUAUUGGACAAUGGGCGCAAGCCUGAUCCAGCCAUACCGCGUGGGUGAAGAAGGCCUUCGGGUUGUAAAGCCCUUUUGUUGGGAGAGAAAAGCAGCAGGUUAAUACGCCGCUGGUCUGACGGUACCCAAAGAAUAAGCACCGGCUAACUUCGUG